UGAACGCUGGCGGCAUGCCUUACACAUGCAAGUCGAACGGCAGCAUGAUCUAGCUUGCUAGAUUGAUGGCGAGUGGCGAACGGGUGAGUAAUACAUCGGAACGUGCCCUGUAGUGGGGGAUAACUAGUCGAAAGAUUAGCUAAUACCGCAUACGACCUGAGGGUGAAAGUGGGGGACCGCAAGGCCUCAUGCUAUAGGAGCGGCCGAUGUCUGAUUAGCUAGUUGGUGGGGUAAAGGCCCACCAAGGCGACGAUCAGUAGCUGGUCUGAGAGGACGAUCAGCCACACUGGGACUGAGACACGGCCCAGACUCCUACGGGAGGCAGCAGUGGGGAAUUUUGGACAAUGGGCGAAAGCCUGAUCCAGCAAUGCCGCGUGUGUGAAGAAGGCCUUCGGGUUGUAAAGCACUUUUGUCCGGAAAGAAAUGGCUCUGGUUAAUACCUGGGGUCGAUGACGGUACCGGAAGAAUAAGGACCGGCUAACUACGUGCCAGCAGCCGCGGUAAU
rnacentral:rRNA from 1 species